UACUGCCAGGGAACAAGCUAGAGGAAAAGAGUAUUCCUGUUCUAGGCAAAAGGAAUAACAUGUGCAGAGAUUUACUUCCUUUAGAAGAAAAAAAGACAUAGACUUUUAAAGUUGAAGAGGUUAUCCAAGGUAUUUUAUUUUGACAUACUUACUUUAUAUAAAAUUAAAUGGAAGCUCUUGAAGGUAAAUCUAUUUAUCCAUUAUUUCUCAGAAAUUACAGUAUCACUUGAAAUAUUCUUUGAAAUACAAAUGAACUAUGUAGUUCAGAACACAUUUUGGUCAGAUAUUACUCUAUUCCACAAAAGAAGGUUCUUCCUUGUGUUUUCUUUGUUUAGAAAUCUGCUUUACUUUCAAGCUAAAAUGUAAUUAGGUAUUAUUUCUAUUUAUCUUAAAAUUUUUUAUUAUUAAAAAUUCUAACAAUUCAGAAAAAUUCAGAAUAAUAUUAAAAACAUCUUUAUCUUACCACCAAGAAUUAAUUGAAUGCUAACAUUUCCACCUCCCCCCCUUUUUUUUUAAAGAAAUAAAACAAUUUAGGAACAAUUGAAAUCCUCUUUGUAUCUUUCUCCAAUCUUAUUCUUGUCAUCCUUUUCUGGAGAAAAUGCUGUGAGGCUGGUGAAUAUACAUUCUUAUGUAUGUACCCAUAAACAACAUGAAAUGUAAAUAAUGAUAUAAUAGAUGUACUUUUUCCAUCUUUCAUGAUGUGUGGUAUUCAUUUAAAUGCAUUUUUUCAUAUGAACUCAAAAUAAAAUAUAGCGCAGGUGAGUUGACAACAUACUAUAGUUAAUAGAGAUUUCUCAAGCCUCUCCUGCCUUCCAGGAUGGUCUCUACUCUGUCUAUGGAGGGUGUUUCUUUAGAUAAACCUUCUUUCACUUAAAAAAAAUAGUAGGGAUUUGCUGUUGUGUUAUGAUUUUGUCCUCCUGUGUUCUCUUCUUGAUACCUAAAAUACCACUGUCUCCUAGUUAAUUCUGCGUUGUGUUUUGGAAGAAUGUAAUUCUUUCAUUCCAUAGGUUUUCAAAUGUAUUUUCAAAGACUUUUGUUGGGAAAACAGUUAUUUCUGUGGGCUUAUAUCUCUCACAUUAGCUCUUUUAAUUCUUCUCUACUGAGAUCACUGUAGCAGAAGUACUCUGUAGUAGAGUCAGAUGACCAAGAAAUGACUAUACCAUGUGGUAGGAAGUCUCCCUUCACACAUGUAUUGCUGGCAAGACAACAAUACUAGGUAGUAAGAAGUCAGUCAUGAUGUGUGAGGAGAGUUAGCCUCUGAAAAUGCCAUGACAAGACAAUACAGAAAGAGGAUGUUUAUCUGAACUUCUUAAAGAGCUUAGAAGUCCUUUCACCAAGGACCUGGCCAUGGCAUAAGGGAUGAUAGAGGAAGAAAUAGAAAUCUUAUUGCGGGAGAAAGGAUUGCUAUGGGUGUUGAGAACACAUUUUUUACCCUUUGAUUCUUUGUACCAAGUGUAAUUAGCAGUAAAUGUUUUAAGUUCAUGACACUCAGCUAGAAUACCACUAAAUAUAUGUGGCAAUUGAAGAGCAUGAUAAAUACAAAGCAUCUCCUUGUUUCUGUUCCUCACCUUCU
ensembl:lncRNA